UCCUACGGGAGGCAGCAGUGGGGAAUAUUGCACAAUGGGCGCAAGCCUGAUGCAGCGACGCCGCGUGAGGGAUGACGGCCUUCGGGUUGUAAACCUCUUUCAAUAGGGACGAAGCGCAAGUGACGGUACCUAUAGAAGAAGCACCGGCCAACUACGUGCCAGCAGCCGCGGUA
rnacentral:rRNA from 1 species